rnacentral:rRNA from 1 species
AUUGAACGCUGGCGGCAGGCCUAACACAUGCAAGUCGAGCGAGCGGCGGACGGGGGAGUAAUGUCUGGGGAAAUGCCUGUAGGCGGGGGAUAACUAAUGGAAACGGUAGCUACUACCGCAUACCAUCAGAUUUGCCCAGAUGGGCUUAGCGAGUGGGUGGGGUAAUGGCUCAGCUAGGCGACGAUCCCUAGCUGGUCUGAGAGGACGACCAGCCACACUGUAACUGAGACACGGUCCAGACUCCUACGUGAGGCAGCGGUGGGGAAUAUUGCACGAUGGGCGCAAGCCUGAUGCAGCCAUACCGCGUGUGUGAAGCAGGCCUUCGGGUUGUAAAGCACGUUCAGCGGGGAGGCGUUACCCGCAGAAGAAGCACCGGCUAACUCCGUGACAGCAGCCGCGGUAAUUC